GCACUGUGGUGAUUCAGUGGUACAAUGCUCGCCUACAACGCGACUGACCCCGGGUUCGAUUCUCGGCCAAUGUC